rnacentral:tRNA from 1 species
GUCGGGAAGCUCAGCGGAGAGCAGAGGACUGAA